rnacentral:rRNA from 1 species
AUUGAACGCUGGCGGCAGGCCUAACACAUGCAAGUCGAACGAGUGGCGGACGGGUGAGCAACGUCGGGGAAACUGCCUGAUGGAUGGGGAUAACUACUGGAAACGGUAGCUAAUACCGCAUACCAUCGGAUGUGCCCAGAUGGGAUUAGCUAGUAGGUGGGGUAAAGGCUCACCUAGGCGACGAUCCCUAGCUGGUCUGAGAGGGUGACCAGCCACACUGGAACUGAGACACGGUCCAGACUCCUACGGGAGGCAGCAGUGGGGAAUAUUGCGCAAUGGGCGAAAGCCUGAUGCAGCCAGGCCGCGUGUAUGAAGAAGGCCUUCGGGUCGUAAAGUUCUUUCAUCGGGGAGGCGUUACCCGCACAAGAAGCCCCGGCUAACUACGUGCCAGCAGCCGCGGUAAUUC